rnacentral:rRNA from 1 species
UACGUAGGUGGCAAGCGUUGUCCGGAUUUAUUGGGUUUAAAGGGUGCGUAGGCGGUCUAUUAAGUCAGUGGUGAAAUACUCCAGCUUAACUGGAGGGUGCCAUUGAUACUGAUGGACUUGAGUGAAGUCGAGGUAGGCGGAAUUGACGGUGUAGCGGUGAAAUGCUUAGAUAUCGUCAAGAACACCAAUAGUGAAGACAGCUUACUAGGCUUAUACUGACGCUGGAGGCACGAAAGUGUGGGGAUCAAACGGG